CUAUUGAGAUAAUUGAUUUUAGGGCGUCUAACCGGGUAACGGGUUAGAGUAUAACUGGGUGAAUUGCUGGAACUUCCUAAAGCCCCAUCAACCACAACGUAACUGGAAACGGUCGGCGUGACGGUUUGAAAAUGAUGAGGAUACACCAAUGGAUAAUCAGCAGCCAAGCUCCUGUGAGGAAACUCUGGGGAAGGUUCAACGACUAGGAUAAACCGUCUAAGGCAAAAGCUAUGACGAUGAAAUCCGUAGGGUGGCAAGCGCCAUUCGAAGUGCCCAGCCCCUCAAAUGUGAGGGUGAAGAUAUAGUCUAUUCUAUGAUCGAAAGACAUAG
rfam:Planococcus sp. PAMC 21323, complete genome.